GCCGUGAUCGUCUAGUGGUCAUGACACCUCGUUGUGGCCGAGGAAGCCCAGGUUCAAUUCCUGGUCACGGCA
rfam:Lutzomyia longipalpis Contig10121, whole genome shotgun sequence.